rnacentral:tRNA from 1 species
GAGGGUAUAGCUCAAGUGGUAGAGUUGUGCGCUUGGCAUUCAUGAGGUCCUGGGUUCAAUCCCCAGUACCUCCU